AUAGAAAUUAUUAUGGUAUACUUUUUAUUAUUUAUUUUAAACAUUUUAUAUUAGUCAAUUACUUAUGUUUAUUUACACCAACAUAUUUAACAUAUGAUUUUGCUAAGGAUAAUCAUUGUAUUAAAUGGAAUGCUUUGAAUAUAAAGCACUUUUUUUAUAUUUAUUUUACUGUUUUUGCCCUAUGGGCACUAAGAAAGUCUGUUCUAUUCUUGUCAUGGGUUCUGCCAUGCCCAUAAUGGAGGAAACUAGAUGGUGAGGAAUAAGGCCCAAUUUAUCUGGGAUAGACCACCUACAAAAAAUUUCUGAGGUUUGUGAUCCAGACUUGAACCUGGAUCAUAAGAGUGAUAGGCUAAUGUCAUUACUGUCUUGGCAUCUGGCCUUCUCUAAGAAGACAACGUGUUAAAAAAACACAUUAAUAGUAUUUAACAUAUCUCAUAUAAUUAAUACUUUAAUAUUUUAAAAUAUUAUAUAAAAUUAUUCAUUUUUAAAAUUUUUUAUUUGUUGCUUAUGUUGCAUUAAUUUGAAACAACCAAACUGAUUAGAAAGACAUGGAAGUUAAUGUUUUAGAGCAAGGGUCACCAAACUACUGCCUGCAAGGUUAGUUCAUCCGGUCCGCUGCUGCACUGUGCCACAAAUAUCAUAGAUUGUAGAUAAACUUACUAUGUAGAAAAAAUUAAAAUAAGUGUAAGUAUAAAUGCCAAAAUUGCUCCAAUCUGAUUUUUGCAUCUGACAGUAAUAUAAUUUUUAGGAAAAUCAGUGAAAUAAAAAAUUUGGUGACUUUUUGCAACUUUGGAUAUCAGAGCACUUUUUGUGUAAGUACCUGCAAUGAGGUUUCUAAGAAAAGUGAUUACAAGCUUGCUGCAGCAAUUGUGUUUGUAUAUUGGUAAAUAAAUAUGUUGGUUGUCUUUAUUUUUUGUAUAUUCAGUGUGCUGUAUAGAACAAAAUGGUUAUGCGGCUCGUGCUUGUCAUUCUCUCAGUUAUGUGGCCUGCUGUGAAAAAUGUUUGACCUCUGUUUUAGAGUGUUACCAGAUUCUUCAGAUUAAUGCAACUAUUGAAAAAUGCCAUGUGGCCAAAACUAAAUUAGAAAAAGCAAAAAGAAGAGAAUGUUCUCUCACAGUAGCUGCUGAUGAGCCUGGUGUUCUUGGAAAAAUUGGUCACCUUGCUUAUGUGGAAGAUGAUGACAUUGCUCGUGUUAUAUCUUGGCAUAUGCAAUCAGAUAUGGAUUGUUUAAUUACACAUUCUAUGUCUAAAG